rnacentral:misc_RNA from 1 species
GAUGAAGAACGUAGCGAAAUGCGAUAAGUAAUGUGAAUUGCAGAAUUCAGUGAAUCAUCGAAUCUUUGAACGCACAUUGCGCCCGCCAGUAUUCUGGCGGGCAUGCCUGUUCGAGCGUCAUUUCAACCCUCAAGCCCAGCUUGGUGUUGGGGAUCGGCACAGGCGCCCUCGGGCGCCCGCCGUCCCCUAAAUCUAGUGGCGGUCCCGCUGCAGCCUCCUCUGCGUAGUAGUUUUCUCCUCGCAAGGGCAGCUCGGUGGCGACCUCGCCGUAAAACCCCCAACUUCUGAAAGGUUGACCUCGAAUCAGGUAGGGAUACCCGCUGAACUUAAGCAUAUCAAUAAGCGGAGGA